GUACUUUGAAAAGUGUUUUAUUUUUUGUCUCAUUUUGUACAUGAUACCAAUCUGAGGCCUAACUGUAGCCAAUGUCAUAGGACUCUUUUCCUUCUGUGUUAGUGGACAUUUCCCCUUUUGUUCCUUUUCACUCUGUCCAGUUGCCGAGUGUUAUUGAAAUUUUGAAACUUUUUAUUUCUUGUAAUUUUUACGCAAUAAAUAUGUGCUGUGAGAUUUAGAAGGCAAGUAACAUGAAGUGAACACAUGAAGGUCAAUGGUUAUAGCUGAGGGAUCCACCAGGAGUGAGCACUGGAAGCAGAAUGCUGCUGGGAGAAGAAGAAACUCAAGGCUUGGUCAUUGACUGGCCAGUGGCUUCUUCAGAAUAGAUGAUGCCUGAGGAAGAUGUCAAUACUGCAAAGAUAAUUCCAGAAGCUGACUUGCGAUGCUUCCAUUGACUCACGCCUGUAAUCCCAGCACUCACAAGGCUGGAGGAGGAGGAUAGCUGUGAGGCUGAGGAUAGUUUGGCCUCCCUCCCUACACACUCAUGGUGUCUCAGUGUGUCCUAAAUUAGCUGUGAAUCUGUUAUGUUGUCCCUUCUGGUCAGCAACCUCUGAUCAUCAACCCUGAACAUUUGUACUGGCUGGAAUCACAGCUCUCAAGAGCAUAAGCCAACUGGGUAUCAUGAGAAAGUGCUGGAAGUAGAAUGCUGCUGUGUGAAGAAGGGGGCAAAUGCAACACCUGACCAUGUGGACCUUGAGUUCUAGAAAGAAGAGCUACCUGCUAAGGACCAAAUGGGCGGGAGAAGAGGAUGUAAGAUGGCGCUGCUGAGCUUAUCUAGAGCACUACUGCCCCCAAGUGGAAUUAGUUUUAGCAGAUGUGAUACCAUCACGGUUUCUUUCCCAUAAACCCCAGCAAGGAAGAGGACUGGCCGCCAAAUGGAAGCUCAUUGUCUCCAAGGCACCAAGAUAUCAGAAAGCGGGUAUAUCCUAGAAGCUGGUGUAACUCCUCAAAGAACCUGAACGUCAAGAGACCCGAACUGGACCACCAGUGGCUUGGAAUACUGAAAGUGUGUUCUAUCCAGUUUAGACUUGGAAACAGGAAACAACUCAGACAAAUGCUAACUCUCCACAGUCAAGAUGACUCGCGGGUUAGAGAGCAACACUAAGUGUCAAAGAACUUAUGGCAGUCUUGUGGGGUAGGGGCACGGCGGCAUAGGAAAGAUGUGUGGGGGUGUGAGUUUACUGCUCCUGCCUCUAAGGUAGCAGAACUUCACGUGCCAUCAUUGUACUCAAUUGUACAAUACCUGGUAGAGCGCAGAUUGCAGCAGGGUAAGACCAGCAAGGAUAAGCCAGUUCCUGGUGGCACAGUGUGGUUAGGAAGGGCCUAGGGUGUUUUAUUGUCUGAAGGCUUCGAGGUCCCAAAACACAAGAGCAAAGGCCCGAAGAGAGAACUGGACCCUAAUCCUCCAUUAGCGUAGAACCCAGAGGGUGAGGUGGCUAGCACACCAACAAAGGAAGCACACCUUGUAGUUCAACCCAGCUAGGACAAGCCUAGAGAAAAACCUCAAAUGGCUGCUCAAGGAGACAUUGUCUCAUGUCACUGUACCUUGGCAGGUUUUCAGUUAGUGUCACUGUGCUGUUUAGUGGCCCUGAGGUGCUUAUGUCCUCAGAGUAUCUUGGGCGGGGAUGUUUCAAAGUGAGUUUAAGACAAACAGUGGCAAGCCCCAUACCUUUUACAUUAUCAUAUCUUAACUGUCUUCUCAAGUAAAAUACAGAAGUCCAUAUAUUCCAAAUAUGUUAAUAUGUCCACAGUUAAGGAGAUGCCAAAGAGGGUAAAGUUAUAGCUUUAUGAUAUCUGUCACUGCUGAAGAUAGUCUGUUUGAAUGUAUUUCUGGGCUACACGGGGGAAUUCUGAAUUUGAGAUGCCAGUUUUAAAGAUUUGUUGAGUUGUUGUUUUAAUGUUUUUUGGAGAUACAGUUUGCUUUUUCUAUUUGGAGUACUCACACUUUGUAGUCCAGCUUUCACCAUCUUGAACCUACUUCUGAUGUAUCCACCAACUUAUUUUAAAGUUGUCUUGAUUUAUGGCUUUCCUUGUUCUGUAAAACUAUAAAAACCCUGUGACAGUGCUUCCAUGUUGCAACAUGGAAUUUGGGGUAACCUAAGUCUGUGUUCCUGGGCCCUGAUCACUCAGAAUGGCUCCAGAAUAAACUAUCUCUUAUUCCCUUUAAGAUGA